rnacentral:lncRNA from 1 species
UUUUUUGUAGCCCAGAGGUCCUUUAUUUUUUUUUUUUAACACCUAUUAUGCCAUGAAUUCAUAGGGAAUAGGUUCCAGCAGCUCAGGCUCCUUCCCAUUGGUUCUCACAAAGUGUGCUUCUCUGGGUGGAGUAGGCUGGCGCUUUAGUUGAACCCAGGUACCUUUCUCUUUGGCUUCUUUCUUUUUCUGAUCAUUUUCCUUCACACGUUUCAGGAAGCUAUCUCGGCUCUUAGAGUGCUUAAUGUGCUCAAUACGCACAUUAAUUCUCUUGGCAAGAAUCUUGCCCUUAACUUGUUUGUUUACAACAAUGCCAACAGCAUGCUGGGUAACAUUGUAGACUCUUCCAGUUUUGCCAUGGUAACACUUGUGGGGCAUUCCUUUUUGAACAGUACCCAUUCCCUUGAUGUCUACAAUAUCACCUUUCUUAUAGAUUCGCAUAUAUGUGGCCAAAGGAACAACUCCAUGUUUUCUAAAAGGCCUAGAGAACAUAUAUCGGGUGCCUCUCCUCUUUCCCUUUGUGUUCGUCAUUUUGGCGAAUUACUGGAAGAUGGCGGUUCCGGCCGAAAGGGCAAGAUGCAUAUUGGAUAUCUAAAUAGAGAUAUCAAGAAAUGAAGAUAUGCAUUUCCAGUUCCAGAGAGAAAUUCACACUGGAAAUAUAAAUUUAGGAAUUUUAAAGUUAGUGGUCACAUUUAAAGCUGCAGAAUACAAAGAGAUCACCUGUGUGAGAGAACUGAGUCCUGAAACAUACCCGUGUUUAAAGAUCUGGGAGGUGCAGAGGAAUUAUCAAAGGAGGCUGAGAAGGAGCAGCCAGUGAGAUAAGCAAAAAGAAAAGCAAGAGAUAUGGAACUGAACUUCCCUUUGGCAAAAAAUUUAGAAAAUGAUAAUGAGUCUCUAGACCCCCUUCGUGGAUGGUAUCAGAUGAUUUCAGUCCAACCUUCCAUUGCAUUCUCUGACUGAGCCAACACAGCUGGAUUCUCAGCCAACUAUGAAGUUUAAAUUGACUCCGCUUUCUGUCUCUCUGAAGAUAACGUUAAGCUGCAGCUCCGUAUCUGUGAAAACCCAUUUCACAGCAUCUGCAUCCCUGGAUUGCUAAAUACCCUUGUCUAGUUACCCAAAUAUUAAUGGAUCCCAUGGAAUAAGGUGGCAUGAUUUAGGCACAAGCAAUUACCAAAGGAUUUUGAAAAGCAGUAACUCCAAAUUAUCUUGUAAAGUUGAGAAUAAUCUGAGAAGAGCUAUUGUAAGACUGGGAAUCAAGUAACAAAAUAAAGAUAUGAACCGUC